rnacentral:rRNA from 1 species
AUGCUUUACACAUGCAAGUCAACGGCAGCGGGGGCUUCGGCCUGCCGGCGAGUGGCGAACGGGUGAGUAUGCAUCGGAACGUGCCCAUGUCGUGGGGGAUAACGUAUCGAAAGGUACGUAAUACCGCAUACGUCCUGAGGGAGAAAGCGGGGGAUUCUUCGGAACCUGCGCGAUUGGAGCGGCCGAUGUCGGAUUAGCUAGUAGGUGAGGUAAAGGUCACCUAGGCGACGAUCCGUAGCGGGUCUGAGAGGAUGAUCCGCCACACGGGACUGAGACACGGCCCAGACUCCUACGGGAGGCAGCAGUGGGGAAUUUGGACAAUGGGGGCAACCCUGAUCCAGCCAUGCCGCGUGAGUGAAGAAGCCUUCGGGUUGUAAAGCUCUUUCGGCCGGGAAGAAAUCGUGGUCUCUAAAUAGGCCAUGGAUGACGGUACCGGACUAAGAAGCACCGGCUAACUACGUCCAGCAGCCGCGGUAAUACGUAGGGUGCGAGCGUUAAUCGGAAUUACUGGCGUAAAGCGUGCGCAGGCGGUUUUGUAAGACAGAUGUGAAAUCCCCGGCUCAACCUGGGAACUGCGUUUGUGACUGCAAGGCUAGAGUACGGCAGAGGGGGUGGAAUUCCUGGUGUAGCAGUGAAAUGCGUAGAUAUCAGGAGGAAACCGAUGGCGAAGGCAGCCCCCUGGGCCUGUACUGACGCUCAUGCACGAAGCGUGGGGAGCAAACAGGAUUAGAUACCCUGGUAGUCCACGCCCUAAAGAUGUCGACUAGUCGUUCGGAGCAGCAAUGCACUGAGUGACGCAGCUAAGCGUGAAGUCGACCGCCUGGGGAGUACGGCCGCAAGGUUAAAACUCAAAGAAUUGACGGGGACCCGCACAAGCGGUGGAUGAUGUGGAUUAAUUCGAUCAACGCGAAAAACCUUACCUACCCUUGACAUGUCUGGAACCUUGCCGAGGGCGAGGGUGCCUUCGGGAGCCAGAACACAGGUGCUGCAUGGCUGUCGUAGCUCGUGUCGUGAGAUGUUGGGUUAAGUCCCGCAACGAGCGCAACCCUGUCACUAGUUGCCAUCAUUUGGUUGGGCACUCUAGUGAGACUGCCGGUGCAAACCGGAGGAAGGUGGGGAUGACGUCAAGUCCUCAUGGCCCUUAUGGUAGGGCUUCACACGUCAUACAAUGGUCGGUACAGAGGGUUGCCAAGCCGGAGGUGGAGCCAAUCCCAAAAAGCCGAUCGUAGUCCGGAUCGUAGUCUGAACUCGACUACGUGAAGUCGGAAUCGCUAGUAAUCGCAGAUCAGCAUGCGCGGUGAAUACGUUCCCGGGUCUUGUACACACCGCCCGUCACACCAUGGAGUGGGUUUCACCAGAAGUAGGUAGCUUAACCUUCGGGAGGGCGCUUACACGGUGAGAUUCAUGACUGGGGUGAAGUCGUAACAAGGUAGCCGUAUCGAAGGUGCGGCUGGAUCACC